rnacentral:rRNA from 1 species
AGGCGAUGAAGGACGUGCUAAUCUGCGAUAAGCGUCGGUAAGGUGAUAUGAACCGUUAUAACCGGCGAUUUCCGAAUGGGGAAACCCAGUGUGAUUCGUCACACUAUCAUUAACUGAAUCCAUAGGUUAAUGAGGCGAACCGGGGGAACUGAAACAUCUAAGUACCCCGAGGAAAAGAAAUCAACCGAGAUUCCCCCAGUAGCGGCGAGCGAACGGGGAGCAGCCCAGAGCCUGAAUCAGUGUGUGUGUUAGUGGAAGCGUCUGGAAAGGCGCGCGAUACAGGGUGACAGCCCCGUACACAAAAAUGCACAUACUGUGAGCUCGAUGAGUAGGGCGGGACACGUGGUAUCCUGUCUGAAUAUGGGGGGACCAUCCUCCAAGGCUAAAUACUCCUGACUGACCGAUAGUGAACCAGUACCGUGAGGGAAAGGCGAAAAGAACCCCGGCGAGGGGAGUGAAAAAGAACCUGAAACCGUGUACGUACAAGCAGUGGGAGCACGCUUAGGCGUGUGACUGCGUACCUUUUGUAUAAUGGGUCAGCGACUUAUAUUCUGUAGCAAGGUUAACCGAAUAGGGGAGCCGAAGGGAAACCGAGUCUUAACUGGGCGUUAAGUUGCAGGGUAUAGACCCGAAACCCGGUGAUCUAGCCAUGGGCAGGUUGAAGGUUGGGUAACACUAACUGGAGGACCGAACCGACUAAUGUUGAAAAAUUAGCGGAUGACUUGUGGCUGGGGGUGAAAGGCCAAUCAAACCGGGAGAUAGCUGGUUCUCCCCGAAAGCUAUUUAGGUAGCGCCUCGUGAAUUCAUCUCCGGGGGUAGAGCACUGUUUCGGCAAGGGGGUCAUCCCGACUUACCAACCCGAUGCAAACUGCGAAUACCGGAGAAUGUUAUCACGGGAGACACACGGCGGGUGCUAACGUCCGUCGUGAAGAGGGAAACAACCCAGACCGCCAGCUAAGGUCCCAAAGUCAUGGUUAAGUGGGAAACGAUGUGGGAAGGCCCAGACAGCCAGGAUGUUGGCUUAGAAGCAGCCAUCAUUUAAAGAAAGCGUAAUAGCUCACUGGUCGAGUCGGCCUGCGCGGAAGAUGUAACGGGGCUAAACCAUGCAC